rnacentral:rRNA from 1 species
AGUGAAAGAGAACCUGAAACCCUGUGUUUACAAGCAGACAAAGCACGUUAAGGUGCGAUGUCGUACUUUUUGUAGAACGGUCCGGCGAGUUAUUUUAUAUGGCAAGGUUAAGUACUAUUAAGGUACGAAGCCGAAGCGAGAGCGAGUCUGAAAAGGGCGAGUAAGUCAUAUGAAAUAGACCCGAAACCGAGUGACCUAUCCAUGGUCAGGAUGAAGCUUGAGUAAAAUCAAGUGGAGGUCCGAACCCAUAAGCGUUAAAAAGCUUCGGGAUGAACUGUGGAUAGCGGAGAAAUUCCAAUCGAACUCGGAGAUAGCUGGUUCUCCUCGAAAUAGUUUUAGGACUAGCCUUGUUUAGUAGUAUGUGGGGGUAGAGCACUGAAUGAGCUAGGGGCCAAACCAGGUUACUGAACUCUAUCAAACUCCGAAUACCAUGUACGUAAGAACAGGAGUCAGACUGCGGGAGCUAAGUUCCGUGGUCAAAAGGGAAAGAGCCCAGAUCGUCAAUUAAGGUCCCAAAGAUAUAGUUAAGUGGAAAACGAUGUGAUUUUGCGUAAACAACCAGGAUGUUGGCUUAGAAGCAGCCAUUCAUUUAAAGAGUGCGUAAUAGCUCACUGGUCGAGUGGAGUUGCGCGGAAAAUUACCGGGGCUAAACUAUACACCGAAAUUGCGGAUUCAUGAGUAAUCAUGAGUGGUAGAGGAGCAUUCUAUAGUAGGACGAAGGUAGAUCGAAAGGACUGCUGGACGAGAUAGAAGAGAGAAUGCCGGAAUAAGUAGCGAAAGCAUGGUGAGAAUCCAUGCCAUCGAAAGUCUAAGGUUUCCUGGGGAAGGUUCGUCCGCCCAGGGUAAGUCGGGACCUAAGGAGAGGCCGAAAGGCGUAUCUGAUGGACAGCAGGUAGAAAUUCCUGCACCACCGAUAUACUUAAAAAAUGCAAGGGACACAGUAGUGGAAGGAAAGCGAGGAAGAGGAAAGACUCGUAUCGAAAGAUAUAGUGAAAAAAUAAGUAACGAAUUUCCAAGAAGCACACUGGCGAGAAAAGCUUGUAGGAAUUGUAUAAAGGUGCCCGUACCGCAAACCGACACAGGUAGAUGAGGAGAGGAUCCUAAGAUGAGCGAGAGAAGCAUUGUUAAGGAACUCGGCAAAUUGACCCCGUAACUUAGGGAGAAGGGGUGCCAAAGUAAAAUUUGGUCGCAGAGAAGAGGCCCAAGCAACUGUUUAACAAAAACACAGGUUUCUGCUAAAUCGAAAGAUGAAGUAUAGGAGCUGACGCCUGCCCAGUGCUGGAAGGUUAAGGGGAAGAGUUAGAUGUAAGUCGAAGCUUAGAACCAAAGCCCCAGUGAACGGCGGCCGUAACUAUAACGGUCCUAAGGUAGCGAAAUUCCUUGUCAGGUAAGUUCUGACCCGCACGAAAGGCGUAAUGAUUUGGGCGCUGUCUCGACAAUGUACUCGGCGAAAUUGUAGUACUAGUGAAGAUGCUAGUUACCUGCGACAAGACAGAAAGACCCCAUGGAGCUUUACUGUAGCUUGAUACUGGGUUUCGAUAAUUUAUGUACAGGAUAGGUGGGAGGCGAAGAAGCAAUUGCGCCAGCAGUUGUGGAGUCAUCCUUGGGAUACCACCCUUAAGUUAUUGAAAUUCUAACCUGUAGUCCUGAGCGGGCUAGGGGACAAUGUCAGGCGGGCAGUUUGACUGGGGCGGUCGCCUCCAAAAGAGUAACGGAGGCGCGCAAAGGUUUCCUCAGCGCGGACAGAAAUCGCGCGAAAGAGUGCAAAGGCAGAAGGAAGCUUAACUGAGAGACUGACAAGUCGACCAGAUACGAAAGUAGGUCUUAGUGAUCCGGCGGUAGUGAGUGGAAAUGCCGUCGCUCAACGGACAAAAGUUACCCUGGGGAUAACAGGCUUAUCUCCCCCAAGAGUUCACAUCGACGGGGAGGUUUGGCACCUCGAUGUCGGCUCAUCACAUCCUGGAGCGGAAGUACGUUCCAAGGGUUGGGCUGUUCGCCCAUUAAAGUGGUACGCGAGCUGGGUUCAGAACGUCGUGAGACAGUUCGGUCCUUAUCUGUCGCAGGCGAAGGAUAUUUGAGGGGAGUUGACCUUAGUACGAGAGGACCAGGUUGAACUUACCAAUGGUGUAUCAGUUGUCGUACCAACGGCACGGCUGAGUAGCUAAGUAGGGAAGGGAUAAACGCUGAAAGCAUCUAAGUGUGAAGCCCACCCCAAGAUAAGAUAUCCCAUACCGUAAGGUAGU